rnacentral:rRNA from 2 species
UAGGGAAUCUUCGGCAAUGGGGGCAACCCUGACCGAGCAACGCCGCGUGAGUGAAGAAGGUUUUCGGAUCGUAAAGCUCUGUUGUAAGUCAAGAACGAGUGUGAGAGUGGAAAGUUCACACUGUGACGGUAGCUUACCAGAAAGGGACGGCUAACUACGUG